AAGUCGUAACAAGGUAACCGUAGGUGAACCUGCGGUUGGAUCAUUACUAAAUCCAACUCUGAAGCUAGCAAUAGCGGAUGAAACUUUUUAGAGUGGGCUCGCAAGAGUUCAUUCGACACACCUUUUGUGAACAUAAUUGUCUUUGGAGUUUACGACUAAUGACUAGGCAACUAGUCUGAAGAAAGAAACUCCUAUCAAUAUAAACUUUAUUAGUCAGCCUUUUUAUUCAUAUUCAAAGUUUACCCUUAAAAAGUACUCCGAGAAAUAUAACAAUAAGAAAACAACUUUUGACAACGGAUCUCUUGGCUCUC
rnacentral:misc_RNA from 1 species